GCGCCCAUAGCUCAAUUGGAUAGAGCAUCUGACUACGAAUCAGGAUGUUGGGGGUUCAAGUCCCUCUGGGCGCG
rnacentral:tRNA from 1 species